AGGACGAACGCUGGCGGCGCGCUUAACACAUGCAAGUCGAGCGAGAACCAGGGCUUCGGCCCUGGGGAAAGCGGCGAACGGGUGAGUAACACGUGAGUAACCUGUCCUCGGCACCGGGAUAGCCCGGGGAAACCCGGAUUAAUACCGGAUGGCCUUUCGAGUCUUCGGGCUCGUCAGAAAAGGUAGCUUCGGCCUCCGGCCGAGGAGGGACUCGCGGCGGAUUAGCUUGUUGGUGGGGUAACGGCUCACCAAGGCGACGAUCCGUAGCUGGUCUGAGAGGACGAUCAGCCACACUGGGACUGAGACACGGCCCAGACUCCUACGGGAGGCAGCAGUGGGGAAUCUUGCGCAAUGGGCGAAAGCCUGACGCAGCGACGCCGCGUGCGGGAAGAAGGCCUUCGGUUGUAAACCGCUUUCAGGAGGGACGAAGCCACUCGGUUAAUAGCCCAGAGGUGACGGUACCUCCAGAAGAAGCCCCGGCUAACUACGUGCCAGCAGCCGC
rnacentral:rRNA from 1 species